rnacentral:rRNA from 1 species
UGCAAGUCGAACGAUGAUUUCCCAGCUUGCUGGGAAUGAUUAGUGGCGGACGGGUGAGUAACAUUUAGGAAUCUGCCUAGUAGUGGGGGAUAGCUCGGGGAAACUCGAAUUAAUACCGCAUACGACCUACGGGUGAAAGGGGGCGCAAGCUCUUGCUAUUAGAUGAGCCUAAAUCAGAUUAGCUAGUUGGUGGGGUAAGGGCCCACCAAGGCGACGAUCUGUAACUGGUCUGAGAGGAUGAUCAGUCACACCGGAACUGAGACACGGUCCGGACUCCUACGGGAGGCAGCAGUGGGGAAUAUUGGACAAUGGGGGCAACCCUGAUCCGGCCAUGCCGCGUGUGUGAAGAAGGCCUUUUGGUUGUAAAGCACUUUAAGCAGGGAGGAGAGGCUAAUGGUUAAUACCCAUUAGAUUAGACGUUACCUGCAGAAUAAGCACCGGCUAACUCUGUGCCAGCAGCCGCGGUAAUACAGAGGGUGCGAGCGUUAAUCGGAAUUACUGGGCGUAAAGCGAGUGUAGGUGGCUCAUUAAGUCACAUGUGAAAUCCCCGGGCUUAACCUGGGAACUGCGUGUGAUACUGGUGGUGCUAGAAUAUGUGAGAGGGAAGUAGAAUUCCAGGUGUAGCGGUGAAAUGCGUAGAGAUCUGGAGGAAUACCGAUGGCGAAGGCAGCUUCCUGGCAUAAUAUUGACACUGAGAUUCGAAAGCGUGGGUAGCAAACAGGAUUAGAUACCCUGGUAGUCCACGCCGUANACGAUGUCUACUAGCCGUUGGGGUCCUUGAGACUUUAGUGGCGCAGUUAACGCGAUAAGUAGACCGCCUGGGGAGUACGGCCGCAAGGUUAAAACUCAAAUGAAUUGACGGGGGCCCGCACAAGCGG